rfam:Sorghum bicolor cultivar BTx623 chromosome 3, whole genome shotgun sequence.
AAAGCGAACAAAGAGCUCCCUUCGAUCCAAUCCAGGAGGGGAAGUGGUCGGUUGCAGCUGCCGGUUCAUGGAUGCCUCUCUGGUGCAGCAAUGACUGAUGCUCACCUGCACUUGCAUGGGUGUGCAUGACCCGGGAGAUGAACCCACCAUCAUCUUUCCCUCGUGCUUGGAUUGAAGGGAGCUCCUCUCUCUUUCUCU